AAAACCAGCUAUUACAAUUGAUCAGUGCAAUUGUAUUUUACGCACUGAGUUCUUAGUGUGUUUUUAUCAUGUCAUCUUGUUCAAGUUUUUAUCGUGUAUUUUAUCUUGUAUUUGUAGAUACUUUAGUAUUUUAACCAAUUUUAGCAUUUAUUGGAAUAUUUGGAUUUUGCUAUGUUUACUUUAUUUUUAGUGUCCCCACUAGUCUCCUUUGUCAUGCAGCAAUCUUAAUUCUUCUCUCGGGGCUGGGGUGUAGCAUUGUGUGACAGCCACGGAGAAGACAGGCUAUCCAAGGACAACUUUUCUUUGUACAUGCUUGAUGUAAUUCACUCUUUGUUUCACCUGUCAAUCACAAUCUCUGUAAACAAUAUUUGGAAUUACAGGAAAGGAUGUUGUCAUCUUGCAAAAUUUGCUGCUGAGGUCACCAUCAGUGGAGUCAGUGGAAACAACAGGCUUUUAUGACCAGAAAACCAGUGAAGCAGUAACCAGCUACCAAAGAUUGAAUGGCUUGCCUGGAAAUGGUAUAUUGGAUGCCACAACAGCAUCCCUUGUCUUAAAACGACUUAUGUAUGAUGGAUAUAAAGAUGACAGCACUGUGCUACCUGGAUAUAAAUUUAAGAUUUAUGUUCCUGUGUAUAAAGAUCGCACUAUAGAAACGUUUGCUACACUAUACGACUCCAACGAUCAGGUAAAGCACACAUUCAAGGCCCGCUGUCAUGGCGCUACAGAUUCAACCGGUGAACCAAUAAAUCAACUGACGAGAAAUGGAAACACUCCCACUGGAUUAGUGGUAUGACUGUCUUUCACAUUUACUUGAAUGAUAAAAUGGUGUGAUACACAGCUUCUGAUUUUGUUAUUGGGACACUUUCAGGAAACUAUAUAUAUCGUGAGGAUUUUGCUACAAUUUUGGUUAAAAGGGUUCUUAAAAAUUAUAAAAUUACAUGAACAUGACUUAAGCAAUUGACCCAUACACUUAUUAAAUGCAUUGGAUCAUGUGCACUAAAGGCAUCCACAGUCAAGUGUCAAUCGAUCCACUCGAUGGAUACCCGCGAUCUACCCUAGAUUGAUACUCAAUCGACACUCCAUUGACACCUCGGUUGACACUCGAUCAACAUUCCAUCGACAUCUCGGUCAACAAUCGACUAAUUUUCAAUUGAUUCAUAUGAGUGGGUUGACACUCAGCCGACUAUUGGCCAACUGUUGAUCAAGUGUCAAUAAAGUGUCACCCAAGUAUCGAUCAGGAUGUCGAUCGACUAUCGAUCGAGACAUCGAUCGAGGGUAUCGAUCGAGAGUAUCGAUCGACACUCAACCACAGAUGCUUUUAGUGAACAUGAUCCAAU